GGUCUCGCUGUGCAGUUCAGGCUGGCCUGGAGCUCACUUUGUAGCCCAGGCUGGUCUUGAACUCACAUGAUCCUCCUGCCUCAGCCUCCCGAGUGCCGGGAUGACAGGCGUGCGCCACCACGCCCG
rnacentral:miRNA from 1 species